rnacentral:rRNA from 1 species
UGGGGAAUUUUGGACAAUGGGGGCAACCCUGAUCCAGCAAUGCCGCGUGAGUGAAGAAGGCCUUCGGGUUGUAAAGCUCUUUUGUCAGGGAAGAAACGGUAGUAGCGAAUAACUAUUACUAAUGACGGUACCUGAAGAAUAAGCACCGGCUAACUACGUGCCAGCAGCCGCGGUAAUACGUAGGGUGCAAGCGUUAAUCGGAAUUACUGGGCGUAAAGCGUGCGCAGGCGGUUGUGUAAGUCAGAUGUGAAAUCCCCGGGCUCGACCUGGGAAUUGCAUUUGAGACUGCACGGCUAGAGUGUGUCAGAGGGGGGUAGAAUUCCACGUGUAGCAGUGAAGUGCGUAGAUAUGUGGAGGAAUACCGAUGGCGAAGGCAGCCCCCUGGGAUAACACUGACGCUCAUGCACGAAAGCGUGGGGAGCAAACAGGAUUAGAUACCCAAGUAGUCCCUGAGCGGGCUGGCAAGGCGCAU